CUGAUUAUCUGUUAUCUGUUAAUUGAAACAAUACAGAGAAGAUUAGCAUGGCCCCUGCUCAAGGUUGUUAAAAAAAAUCAAGGUUUCCUGAAAAACUGGU
ensembl:snRNA U6 U6 spliceosomal RNA